rnacentral:rRNA from 1 species
GACGAACUGUCCUAACGUUGUUCGGAAUCACUGGGCUUAAAGGGUGCGUAGGCGGGUCUUUAAGUCAGGGGUGAAAUCCUGGAGCUCAACUCCAGAACUGCCCUUGAUACUGGGAAGCUUGAGUCCGGAAGAGGUGAGUGGAACUCCGAGUGUAGAGGUGAAAAUUCGUAGAUAUUCGGAAGAACACCAGUGGCGAAGGCGACUCACUGGACAUGUAUUGACGCUGAGGUGCGAAAGCGUGGGGAGCAAACAGG